rnacentral:lncRNA from 1 species
CGGCGGGUCCCCACGGGCCAGAUGAGGUGGCUCCAAGAGCCCGUGUCAGAGACCAGCCUGAAAUAGGGGAGCAGAGCAGAGCGGGGAGGGGAGUUCCCUCAGAAGAGAAAAGCAUGAAGCCGCGGCGAGUUCCCUGGACAGGAGCACCCUCCUCCACCAUCCCGCCGGCCGGGCACAGCCGAGGGCAGCACCCGGCUCCUCGCCACGCGCGGAAGCGUCGGGAGCCCCCGGGGAGGCACCGCGGCACCGAGCCUGUAAAAAGGUAUACUACAAGCCAGGGUGCCUGCAAGUGCUGAAUUUGCCUAGUGUUUAAGGUUUUCAAGAAGAUCACUGCAACAGAAGAAUGCAAGAAGGAAGUACUCAUCACAGCCUUUGCAAAACACUUCUAGAUAAAACUAUUGAGAAAG